AAGAGGUUAAGUGACUUGCCCUGAGUCACACAGCUAAAUAAGUUUCUGUGGCACCAUUUGACUCCAAAUCCAGCAUGAUGUACACUGUACCAUCUAGGUCUGAUUUCCUGAACGCUUGAACUUGGACCAAGUGCAUGUGUGACACUGUUUUUGCCAUGAGCUUCUGCAGGAGCAGUGUGCUCCAAUGGGUACUUUCCCUCAAGCGAGAAAAUCCACCCUCAGGAAUACAAGUUUCCAAUCCAUGCUCAGAAGCAGAUCUUGAAUAUCCCCCAAAGGAUGGGGAAUCACAAAGUAUGGCCAUACCAGGUGGGUGGGUAUAAUAGGGUGCACAUGGAGGCCACCGGAAUUGAAGAAGCCCAGAAAUAGUGAGAACAAGGUGUUUGAAAAGGUCGUUAACAGUGCGUUGAGGUUCUUGAGGGUGCUGGCAAAAGUUGGGAAGGCCAAGAAAGUCCAAGCCAGUGCCAGUCCCAGUGACUAGGCCCUGACAGCAAUGAAUAUGGGAGAAAAAUGCAUCUAAGUAAGUGGCUUGUUUCCUGAAAUAAUUAAACUUGCUCUUGGCCCCCAAAGGGUUGCUCCCACUACACUAAUUGGGUGGAAGGAACAAGGAGUUCGAUUUUGAUCCCAUAUUUGGGGGAAGCACCAGAAACAAAGAGGCAGUAUAUCUUGGUAGGUAGAACUCUGGACUUGGAAUCAGGAAGCCCUGGGCUUCUGUCCUGGUACUGACACCAGCCGUGUGAUCACGGGUGACAAGUCACUUAAUCUCUCUGCCUCAGUUUCCUUCUUUGUAAAAUGAGGUAUUUCAUAAUACUUCACAGAGUUGUGGUGAAAAUCAGAUGAGAUAAUGUCUCUAAAGUAGUACAUAAAUGCCAGUUGUUAUAAACCAUUAGAGAAGAAUGGGCCACCUUGUGAGAUACUGAGUUUGCCAUUCCUGGAGAUGUUCAUACAGAAGCAAGAUUGUCAAGAAUGUUGUAGAUGGGGGUCCUGCUUGGCAGUGGAUUGGGCAAGAUGAUUAAAGAAGAGGUUGGGAUUAACAGCAACGAAUAAUGCUCUGUCCCCUCUAACCUCUCCCCUCCUCCAGACCUCAGGGUUAACUGGCAGAGGGGGAAAGGCAUGGAUCAUCCCCAGGCCAUCAGGAUUGCUGCUAACCAAGGGUGAGCUGGGCCUAGGAGAGAAAUUUGCAGGAGUUAGUAUCUGAGGCUGCCCCCUGCCUCUUCUUUUCUGAAUCUCUUCCUUCCUCCGGGCAAGCUUGUGAGAUCCAAAGGAAUGAAGGCAGUGUGGAACCAUGAAAAGAAUGCUCAAUCCAGAGUCAGAAGAUCUGGGUUCAAAUCCCCACCUAUUACCUGUGACCUUAAGAGGCCCCUUAACCUCUCUGGGCCUCAGUUUCCUCAUCUGUAAACUAAGGAAAUUGGACUGUAUAGCUUCUCAGGACGCUUCCAGCACCAGGUUUAUGAUCCUAUGAAACUGUGGCUAUGGGGUUCCAGGCAUCAUGGCAAAUGGGGGAGAGGGGCAAGGUAGCCGCAGCCUGGGAAGGCCUGCCCCUUCAGAUUUGCCCACAGCAAAGCUAAGGGAGGUGGGAGGUGGCAAAGAAGCAGACAGGGGAACCCUCUUCAGCAGGGGGCUGGCUGGGGCGGCUCCAUCAGUGUUGCCACUUCACUGACUGUCCUGGCCAUGUGCAAACCUGGCUGUUCCAAGGAACCAGCUUUCCCCAUGUGCCCAGCAACCAUUUACCCCACUGAGAUUUACAAUACCUUAAGUAAAUAAAGCACUAUUCCAUUUGCAAAGCUUUCUUAAUUGAGCUCUUGUUUUUAUAUCACCUGUCAUUCAUCACAUUAAUUAUGCACAUAAGUUUUCUGUUUCUCAUUUGAUACAA